AUUGAACGCUGGCGGAAUGCUUUACACAUGCAAGUCGAACGGCAGCACGGGGGCGAACCCUGGUGGCGAGUGGCGAACGGGUGAGUAAUACAUCGGAACGUGCCCAAUCGUGGGGGAUAACGUAGCGAAAGCUACGCUAAUACCGCAUACGAUCUACGGAUGAAAGCGGGGGAUCGCAAGACCUCGCGCGAAUGGAGCGGCCGAUGGCAGAUUAGGUAGUUGGUGGGGUAAAGGCUCACCAAGCCGACGAUCUGUAGCUGGUCUGAGAGGACGACCAGCCACACUGGGACUGAGACACGGCCCAGACUCCUACGGGAGGCAGCAGUGGGGAAUAUUGGACAAUGGGCGGAAGCCUGAUCCAGCAAUACCGCGUGUGUGAAGAAGGCCUGAGGGUUGUAAAGCACUUUCAAUAGGAAGGAAUACCUAUCCAUUAAUACUGGUAGACUGACAUUACCUAUACAANAAGCACCGGCUAACUCCGUGCCAGCAGCCG
rnacentral:rRNA from 1 species